GAUGAACGCUGGCGGCGUGCCUAAUACAUGCAAGUCGAGCGAACAGACGAGGAGCUUGCUCCUCUGACGUUAGCGGCGGACGGGUGAGUAACACGUGGAUAACCUACCUAUAAGACUGGGAUAACUUCGGGAAACCGGAGCUAAUACCGGAUAAUAUAUUGAACCGCAUGGUUCAAUAGUGAAAGACGGUUUUGCUGUCACUUAUAGAUGGAUCCGCGCCGCAUUAGCUAGUUGGUAAGGUAACGGCUUACCAAGGCAACGAUGCGUAGCCGACCUGAGAGGGUGAGCGGCCACACGGGAACUGAGACACGGGCCAGACUCCUACGGGAGGCAGCAGUAGGGAAUCUUCCGCAAUGGGCGAAAGCCUGACGGAGCAACGCCGCGUGAGUGAUGAAGGUCUUCGGAUCGUAAAACUCUGUUAUUAGGGAAGAACAAAUGUGUAAGUAACUAUGCACGUCUUGACGGUACCUAAUCAGAAAGCCACGGCUAACUACGUG
rnacentral:rRNA from 1 species